AGGACGAACGCUGGCGGCGUGCUUAACACAUGCAAGUCGAACGGAAAGGCCCGCUUGCGGGUACUCGAGUGGCGAACGGGUGAGUAACACGUGGGCAACCUGCCCUCAGCUCUGGGAUAACUCCGGGAAACCGGUGCUAAUACUGGAUAUCGACUUCUGCUCGCAUGGGUGGUUGUUGAAAGUUUUUCGGCUGGGGAUGGGCCCGCGGCCUAUCAGCUUGUUGGUUGGGUGAUGGCCUACCAAGGCGACGACGGGUA
rnacentral:rRNA from 1 species